rnacentral:rRNA from 1 species
AUUGAACGCUGGCGGCAGGCCUAACACAUGCAAGUCGAGCGGCAGCACUUCGGGUGGCGAGCGGCGGACGGGUGAGUAACACGUAGGAAUCUACCUAGUAGUGGGGGAUAGCCCGGGGAAACUCGGAUUAAUACCGCAUACGCUCUACGGAGGAAAGGGGGCUUUGGCUCUCGCUAUUAGAUGAGCCUGCGUCGGAUUAGCUAGUUGGUGAGGUAAAGGCUCACCAAGGCGACGAUCCGUAACUGGUCUGAGAGGAUGAUCAGUCACACUGGAACUGAGACACGGUCCAGACUCCUACGGGAGGCAGCAGUGGGGAAUAUUGGACAAUGGGGGAAACCCUGAUCCAGCCAUGCCGCGUGUGUGAAGAAGGCCUUCGGGUUGUAAAGCACUUUCAGUUGGGAGGAAAAGUUUGUGGUUAAUACCCACGAGCCGUGACGUUACCAACAGAAGAAGCACCGGCUAACUCCGUGCCAGCAGCCGCGGUA